rnacentral:rRNA from 1 species
AUUGAACGCUGGCGGCAUGCUUUACACAUGCAAGUCGAACGGUAACAGGUCUUCGGAUGCUGACGAGUGGCGAACGGGUGAGUAAUGUAUCGGAACGUGCCCAGUAGUGGGGGAUAACUACUCGAAAGAGUGGCUAAUACCGCAUGAGAACUGAGGUUGAAAGCGGGGGACCUUCGGGCCUCGCGCUACUGGAGCGGCCGAUAUCAGAUUAGGUAGUUGGUGGGGUAAAGGCCUACCAAGCCGACGAUCUGUAGCUGGUCUGAGAGGACGACCAGCCACACUGGGACUGAGACACGGCCCAGACUCCUACGGGAGGCAGCAGUGGGGAAUUUUGGACAAUGGACGCAAGUCUGAUCCAGCAAUGCCGCGUGCAGGACGAAGGCCUUCGGGUUGUAAACUGCUUUUGUACAGAACGAAAAGGCUCUGGUUAAUACCUGGGGCUCAUGACGGUACUGUAAGAAUAAGCACCGGCUAACUACGUGCCAGCAGCCGAC